rnacentral:rRNA from 1 species
UACGUAGGGCGCAAGCGUUAUCCGGAAUUAUUGGGCGUAAAGAGCUCGUAGGCGGUUUGUCGCGUCUGCCGUGAAAGUCCGGGGCUUAACUCCAGAUCUGCGGUGGGUACGGGCAGACUAGAGUGCAGUAGGGGAGACUGGAAUUCCUGGUGUAGCGGUGAAAUGCGCAGAUAUCAGGAGGAACACCGAUGGCGAAGGCAGGUCUCUGGGCUGUAACUGACGCUGAGGAGCGAAAGCAUGGGGAGCGAACAGG